rnacentral:rRNA from 1 species
UGAGGAAUAUUGGUCAAUGGGCGGGAGCCUGAACCAGCCAAGUCGCGUGAGGGAUGACGGCCCUAUGGGUUGUAAACCUCUUUUGCCGGGGAGCAAAGUGCCGCACGUGUGCGGUUUGGAGAGUACCCGGAGAAAAAGCAUCGGCUAACUCCGUGCCAGCAGCCGCGGUAAUACGGAGGAUGCGAGCGUUAUCCGGAUUUAUUGGGUUUAAAGGGUGCGUAGGCGGACGCUUAAGUCAGCGGUAAAAUUGCGGGGCUCAACCUCGUCGAGCCGUUGAAACUGGGUGCCUUGAGUGGGCGAGAAGUACGCGGAAUGCGUGGUGUAGCGGUGAAAUGCAUAGAUAUCACGCAGAACUCCGAUUGCGAAGGCAGCGUACCGGCGCCCAACUGACGCUGAAGCACGAAGGCGUGGGUAUCGAACAGG